UUCCCUGAUUUUGGAGACAUCAGGUUUGCUGAGAUCAGAUCGAAGGGCACUGGAACUGUACGCUUUCCCGACAGAGGCAGAUGCUCGUAGAGCAGUUGAAAUGCUUGAUCGCCAACGUCUGGAUGGAAGAAUCCUGGAUGUUUGCCAGCUUUAAUGCUAGUCAGAGGGAGAUCACCGGGACUGUGUUGGGAAAGGGUCGCGACUCCACUUGGGAGUUGCAUCACCUUGCCACACAUCGAAAGGGAUGAGAGGGGCGUGUUUUAUACGAAGAAAGACAACUGACAAGCUGCAACCCAAGGUAAUGGCUGCUUACUUGGGGGCUAGUGUCAUCUCAGACCAGUAGCCCAUCUGUUUCUGGAGUUGACGUUCGUGAAGGAUUGGCUGUCGUGGAGGAUUGAAUUAUGCCUAGCUCGGACUAUUCACAAGCUUUUGGUUUGGAAGAAUGAAUUGAUGCUGUGAAGGAUUGAUGGAGUUGAUGACAAGGAUGUUUAUGGAAUUCUAACCAAGUGGGAGUUUUGUAUUUCCCCCAACAAGUGGCAAUAUGCAUAUUUUUUCCUUUUCCUUUUUUUUUUUUUUUUCCCCUUUUUCAUAUCUUCUUUUUUACCUACAUCACUGUUCCCAAGAUGUGGAGGUGGUUGCGUCUGUGCUGGAUCUUUUGAUAGUUACUUCAUGUAUUGGUACAGGUAUUUAGCUGUCCAAAGAUUGAAGAGAAAGAUUGUCGUUUAAGAUACAUGUUGUAAGUCAGUAAAUAGAUCAAAUAACUGUUUCUUGCUGUCAUUUCUGGAAUACAUAAGAGAGUUUAUUUUAUUUUACAUUACUUUCUCGUAUCUUAAAGUCAUAGCUCAUAUUGUUUGGUCCUUUCAUAGGAUGUGUUUUGCACUUUUGAAAUAUAUUUUAAGAUAUAAUUGUCGAAAGGAAAUUUUCUGGUGUCAUUGAAAGAUAAUGGAAUUAGUAUAACUGGAUCAUUGUACCUGUUCAUAGAUGAUGAUAUGAUGUAAUUAGCCAAUAAAUGGCAGUGGGCCUUCUUUGCUGUUGUUUUUUCUUGUUGUCCUCUUGACUGAUUUUUUUACCCCCCAGUAAUUGCUGUUGUUAUGUCUCUCUUGGUUUGAUCUCGUGUCAGCACAUAAUGUUCAGUGAAUAAAAUGGUGAGUCCAAACGUAAA